CAAUUGAUUGAUGGUGCUUGCACCUGAUUGAUUUUGGUCGCCAACGAGUGGCGGACGGGUGAGUAACACGUAGGUAACCUGCCCAGAAGCGGGGGACAACAUUUGGAAACAGAUGCUAAUACCGCAUAACAGCGUUGUUCGCAUGAACAACGCUUAAAAGAUGGCUUCUCGCUAUCACUUCUGGAUGGACCUGCGGUGCAUUAGCUUGUUGGUGGGGUAACGGCCUACCAAGGCGAUGAUGCAUAGCCGAGUUGAGAGACUGAUCGGCCACAAUGGGACUGAGACACGGCCCAUACUCCUACGGGAGGCAGCAGUAGGGAAUCUUCCACAAUGGGCGCAAGCCUGAUGGAGCAACACCGCGUGAGUGAAGAAGGGUUUCGGCUCGUAAAGCUCUGUUGUUAAAGAAGAACACGUAUGAGAGUAACUGUUCAUACGUUGACGGUAUUUAACCAGAAAGUCACGGCUAACUACGUGCCAGCAGCCGCGGUAAUACGUAGGUGGCAAGCGUUAUCCGGAUUUAUUGGGCGUAAAGAGAGUGCAGGCGGUUUUCUAAGUCUGAUGUGAAAGCCUUCGGCUUAACCGGAGAAGUGCAUCGGAAACUGGAUAACUUGAGUGCAGAAGAGGGUAGUGGAACUCCAUGUGUAGCGGUGGAAUGCGUAGAUAUAUGGAAGAACACCAGUGGCGAAGGCGGCUACCUGGUCUGCAACUGACGCUGAGACUCGAAAGCAUGGGUAGCGAACAGGAUUAGAUACCCUGGUAGUCCAUGCCGUAAACGAUGAGUGCUAGGUGUUGGAGGGUUUCCGCCCUUCAGUGCCGGAGCUAACGCAUUAAGCACUCCGCCUGGGGAGUACGACCGCAAGGUUGAAACUCAAAGGAAUUGACGGGGGCCCGCACAAGCGGUGGAGCAUGUGGUUUAAUUCGAAGCUACGCGAAGAACCUUACCAGGUCUUGACAUCUUGCGCCAACCCUAGAGAUAGGGCGUUUCCUUCGGGAACGCAAUGACAGGUGGUGCAUGGUCGUCGUCAGCUCGUGUCGUGAGAUGUUGGGUUAAGUCCCGCAACGAGCGCAACCCUUGUUACUAGUUGCCAGCAUUAAGUUGGGCACUCUAGUGAGACUGCCGGUGACAAACCGGAGAAAGGUGGGGACGACGUCAGAUCAUCAUGCCCCUUAUGACCUGGGCUACACACGUGCUACAAUGGACGGUACAACGAGUCGCGAACUCGCGAGGGCAAGCAAAUCUCUUAAAACCGUUCUCAGUUCGGACUGCAGGCUGCAACUCGCCUGCACGAAGUCGGAAUCGCUAGUAAUCGCGGAUCAGCAUGCCGCGGUGAAUACGUUCCCGGGCCUUGUACACACCGCCCGUCACACCAUGAGAGUUUGUAACACCCAAAGUCGGUGGGGUA
rnacentral:rRNA from 2 species